GGCCGCUCCUUGCGGUGACGGACUUCAGGCACUCCCGGCUUCCAUGGCUUGACGGGCGGUGUGUACAAGGCCCGGGAACGUAUUCACCGGAUCAUGGCUGAUAUCCGAUUACUAGCGAUUCCAGCUUCACGGGGUCGAGUUGCAGACCCCGAUCCGAACUGUGACAGGUUUUAUAGAUUCGCUCCGCCUUGCGACGUGGCUGCUCUCUGUACCUGCCAUUGUAGCACGUGUGUGGCCCAGGACGUAAGGGCCGUGAUGAUUUGACGUCAUCCCCACCUUCCUCACGGUUUGCACCGGCAGUCCCGCUAGAGUCCCCAUCAUGACAUGCUGGCAACUAACGGUAGGGGUUGCGCUCGUUAUAGGACUUAACCUGACACCUCACGGCACGAGCUGACGACAACCAUGCAGCACCUUGCAAAUUGCCCGAAGGAAAAGGUGUCUCCACCCCUGUCAAAAUGCAUUUAAGCCCUGGUAAGGUUCCUCGCGUAUCAUCGAAUUAAACCACAUGCUCCACCGCUUGUGCGGGCCCCCGUCAAUUCCUUUGAGUUUCAUUCUUGCGAACGUACUCCCCAGGUGGGAUACUUAUCACUUUCGCUUGGCCGCCCAGGUCUCAAGGACCCGGACAGCUAGUAUCCAUCGUUUACGGCGUGGACUACCAGGGUAUCUAAUCCUGUUCGCUCCCCACGCUUUCGUCCAUCAGCGUCAGUAUAUGGUUAGUCACCUGCCUUCGCAAUCGGUGUUCUAUGUAAUAUCUAUGCAUUUCACCGCUACACUACAUAUUCCGGCAACUUCACCAUAACUCAAGACCAGCAGUAUCAAAGGCAAUUCUAUAGUUGAGCUACAGACUUUCACCCCUGACUUACCGGCCCGCCUACGGACCCUUUAAACCCAAUAAUUCCGGAUAACGCUCGGACCCUCCGUAUUACCGCGGCUGCUGGCACGGAGUUAGCCGGUCCUUAUUCUUACGGUACCGUCAACAGGGCACACGUGCCCCUUUUUCUUCCCGUAUAAAAGCAGUUUACUACCCAUAGGGCAUUCUUCCUGCACGCGGCAUGGCUGGAUCAGAGUCUCCUCCAUUGUCCAAUAUUCCUCACUGCUGCCUCCCGUAGGAGUCUGGUCCGUGUCUCAGUACCAGUGUGGGGGAUCCCCCUCUCAGGGCCCCUACCCAUCGUAGCCUUGGUAAGCCGUUACCUUACCAACUAGCUAAUGGGACGCAUGGCCAUCUUCUACCGCCCGAAGGCUUUAACCACAAAAUGAUGCCAUAAUGUGGUGCCACGGGGCAUUAAUCCAAGUUUCCCUGGGCUAUUCCCCUGUAGAAGGUAGGUUCCAUACGCGGUGCGCACCCGUGCGCCGGUCGUCGGCGGAGCAAGCUCCCCGUUACCCCUCGACUGCA
rnacentral:rRNA from 1 species